rnacentral:tRNA from 1 species
GCCGAUGUAGCUCAACCGGCAGAGCACUGGUUUUGUAAACCAGGGGUUGUGGGUUCGAGUCCCACCGUCGGCU